UACGUAGGUGGCAAGCGUUGUCCGGAUUUAUUGGGUUUAAAGGGUGCGUAGGUGGCCCUGUAAGUCAGUGGUGAAAUAUCUCAGCUUAACUGAGAGGGUGCCACUGAUACUGCAGGGCUUGAGUACAGAUGAGGUAGGCGGAAUUGACGGUGUAGCGGUGAAAUGCAUAGAUAUCGUCAAGAACACCGAUAGCGAAGGCAGCUUACCAAGCUGUAACUGACACUGAGGCACGAAAGUGUGGGGAUCAAACAGG
rnacentral:rRNA from 1 species